CUCCAGCGUCGCGCCCCUCUCCCUAGCACUUCCCCAGGCCGCAUCCUGGUAUUGGCUUCUAGUGCCCCCUUCUCUCUAUGUGUGCAGUACAUAGGAACACUGCUCCCUUCCUCUAGCUCCAGCUCGGCCACCCUCCUGCUGCUCGCCAUGGCCGUCGUGCCCUGGACCUUGCUCCAGCUCACCUCGUCCCUCUCCGCCCUCUGCCAUGGAAUUCGCUCGGCGCCCUUAGCCUUCGACCACGGAGCUUGCUGGUCCUCCCUGCCCUGAGCUCGUCCCAUGGCGCUUGGACCGCGCCCCUUGUUAUAGUAAGCCCAGAAUUAGUGUUUAUUUCUUAGCAAGUAGAUUAGCACACAAUCACCUUCCAGGUAUUGUGAUUUACUUACCAAUUUCUACUGCAUGUAAUUCCUUUAUAAAGAGAUAGAGAACAACCAGAAAAUGCAGUCUGAUUGACAGCACCAAAUCCAUCGUCUCCUCUGUAUCUGCUUCUCGUGUGUCAUCAUCCUCGCCGGAGUUCUAACAUUUGGUACCAGAGCCAGUUCUCCGCCAUCGCUAUGUCGCACAAGUCGCCAUCCAUGAAGAGGCCGACGGACGACAGCGACGGCGAGAACAAGGUCAGGCCCUCGCGAUCGCCGCCACGACGCCGCGGCCGGUCUUACAGCCGCCGCCGCUCCGACUCGCGCAUCGUCGAGCGCGUCAUCGAGCGCCCGUCCGCGAACGUUGCAUGGCCAAUGCUCACGCGGACGAACUACUCCGAGUGGGCGCUCGUGAUGCAGGUUAAUUACCAGACUCUUCGUGUCUGGGACGCCGUCGAGAUCGGGAUCGAUGAAGACGCCGACGAAAACGAGUAUCAACAGGACCGCCAAGCCAUGGCGGGUCUCCUGCGCUCGGUUCCCUCCGAGAUGUGGGCGACGCUCGGACGCAAGCAGACCGUCAAGGAGGCAUGGGACGCCGUCAAGGUACUCCGGAUUGGUGACGACUGCGCGCGCGACGUCAGCGCGCAGCACCUGCGCCGCGAGUUCGGCGCAAUCGUCUUCAAGAAAGGCGAGACCGUCUCCGAGUUCGGCAUCCGCAUCUCGACGCUCGCCACCGACCUCCGCGUCCUCGGCGACGGAAUCACUGACGCAGAGGUGGUGAAGAAGCUUCUGCAGGUUGUGCCAGAACGCCUGUCGCAGGCGGCCGUUUCUCUCGAGAUGUUCUUGGAUCUGAACAAGGUCUCGAUCGAGGAGGUCGUCGGGCGGCUGCGAGUCUUCGAAGAACGGGGCAAGCCCAAGGAGGUCACGGACGCCAUGGGGCGCCUAAUGCUCUGUGAGGAGGACUGGGAGGCCCGCCGCAAAGCUUGCCGUGAGCAGGAGCGCUCAGGGAGCGGAUCUGGGUCCGGCGGCCGCGGCAACCGCCGUGGACGCGGACGCGGACGAGGCAGCGGCGGCCGUGAUGGCCAGAACUCGGCGACCAGGCAUGCUAGCAGCGGCAAGCCGCCCCCGGGCGAUCGCUGCAACAGCUGUGGCAAAACUGGCCAUUGGGCCAAAGAUUGCCGCGGAAGGAAGAAGGGCGCGGCUCAUGUCACGCAGGCCGAGGAAGAAGAGCACGCGCUCAUGUACAUCGCCGCCGAAGCCAAGGUAACAAUGCCGGAUAUGUCGUGCUCACAUCACAGGUCACCGCUGCACCUCGUCGAGCCGCCGGUUCAUGUUCACCUCGACGAACCAAAGGUGCUCCUCCACCUCAGCCAGGAGGAGGAGACUGCGGUUUCUCGCCGCUGGGUGCUCGACACUGGUGCGACGAAUCACAUGACGGGCUCGCGGGCUGUCUUCGCUGAGCUGAACACCGGUGUCAUCGGCACCGUCAAAUUCGGCGACGGGUCGGUGGUCGACAUCGAGGGCAAGGGCACUGUCCUCUUCGUGUGCAAGUCCGGCGAGCACCGUCGUCUUGAUGGGGUCUACUACAUCCCGCGCCUCACCACCAACAUCGUGAGCCUCGGCCAAAUGGACCAGGACGGGUUCAAGGUCGACAUCGAGUCCGGCGUUCUGCGCCUCUACGACCUGCAGCGCAAACUGCUGGCGAAGGUGCAUCGAUCACCUAGCCGGCUGUACUUCCUCGACAUGAACAUCGCUGCCCCGGUGUGUCUCACCGCGCGGGUUGGCGACGUGGCGUGGCGCUGGCAUGAGCGCUACGGUCACCUCAACUUCCAGUCGCUGCGCAAGCUCGGACGUGCGGACAUGGUGCGAGGACUGCCGGCGAUUGACCACGUCGACCAAGUCUGCGAGGACUGCGUUCUAGCAAAACAAAAGAGGACGUCGUUCUCGCAGGCUGCCAAGUUCCGGGCUCAGGGGGAGCUCGAACUCGUACACGGUGACCUCUGUGGCCCGAUCUCGCCACCUACGCCGGCCGGGAACGCCUACUUCCUGCUGUUGGUCGACGACAUGAGCCGUUACAUGUGGCUCACGCUGUUGCGUUCAAAGGCAGAUGCACCAGCAGCGAUCAUGGCGUUCCAGGCGCGUGUCGAGCGUGAAACCGGCAAGAAGCUGAAGGUACUUCGUACCGACAAUGGUGGUGAGUUCACAUCUGUGCAGUUUGGCAAAUACUGUGCAGGAGAAGGCAUCCAACGACACUACUCAGCGCCGUACUCGCCGCAACAAAAUGGCGUUGUAGAGCGCCGAAACCAGAUGAUAGUGAACACGGCGAGGAGUAUCCUGCGUGCGCGGAGCAUGCCGGGGUACUUUUGGGGAGAAGCGGUGCACACCGCUGUCUUCCUCCUCAACCGGGCGCCCACCAGCGCGCUCGACGGGCUGACACCGUACCAGGCGUGGUACAAGAAGAAGCCGCCCAUGCACUUCCUCAAGGUGUUCGGGUGCGUUGCUUACAUCAAGAACCUGCGUCCACACCUCAGCAAGCUUGAUGACCGCGGGCAGAAGGUCGUCUUCAUCGGCUACCAGGACGGGUCGAAGGCGUAUCGUUUCUACGACCCCGUCACCGAGCGCAUCCAUGUCUCACGCGACGCCGUCUUUGACGAGAGCGCGCGCUGGGACUGGGGAGAAGCAUUGACGGCGGGAAGCGAGGACUCGUUCACGGUGGAGUACGACUACAGGAGCCACGAUGAGGUGGCUGUACCCAGAUCGUCAUCGCUGGGGACACCGUCCCCACCGGGCACACCACCUUCGACAGGCGCACCGGCCGCACCGGGCACGACGACUACACCUGCUUCGCCAUCAACUGCUCCACGAGCUGUGACUCCGCGACCAGCAACACCUGGUGCCGGGCUACGCAUCGAGUUCGCGACGCCGCUCACCACCGACCUGAACUUCGACGCUGAUGAUAAAGGGAAGAGGGAGCUCCGGUACCGGACGCUGGACAACAUCCACAGCGUGGGUGCAGCGCCCGGGCUGGUACGCCAUGACGUCGAGGAAGCUGAGCUGCAUGCCGUGAACGUGGAGGAGCCCAGGACCUUGAAGGAGGCCGAUGGUGACCCAAAUUGGGUUGCCGCGAUGGAGGAGGAGCUGGCGUCGAUCCGUGACAACAAGACAUGGUCGCUGGCCGAGCUCCCGCGUGGUCACCGCGCCAUAGGCCUCAAGUGGGUGUACAAAGUCAAGCGUGAUGAGAACGGCAACAUCGUCAAGUACAAGGCCCGCCUCGUCGCCAAGGGCUAUGUGCAGCAGCCUGGCGUCGACUUCGACGAGGUCUUCGCGCCGGUUGCACGACUGGAAUCCGUGCGCCUGCUCCUUGCCAUCGCAGCGCACUACGGCUGGGGCAUCCAUCACAUGGACGUGAAGUCGGCGUUUUUGAACGGGGAGCUCCAGGAAGAAGUCUACGUCCAGCAACCCCCUGGUUUCGUCGACGACAAGCACAAGUAUAAGGUGCUCCGGCUUCACAAAGCUUUGUACGGGCUUCGCCAAGCCCCACGCGCCUGGAACCAGAAGCUUGAUGCCGAGCUGCUGGCCCUUGGCUUCGCGCGCUGUGUUGAUGAGCAUGGCAUGUACACUCGAGGCAAGGGAGAAGCACGCCUGAUCGUGGGCGUAUAUGUUGAUGAUUUGAUCAUCACAGGUGGCGAUGCAGGAACUGUGGCGAAGUUCAAGGUGCAGAUGCAGAAGAUCUUCAAGAUGAGUGAUCUUGGGCUCCUCUCCUAUUACCUGGGGCUCGAGGUCACCCAAGGAGCACAAGGGAUCACGCUGCGUCAGAGUGCCUACGCCACCAAAGUGCUUGAGAAGGCGGGCUUAGCUGGCUGCAAUGCCAGUGCCACGCCCAUGGAGCCGAAGCUGAAGCUGCUAAAGGAGGGGACGACGCCGAGGGUGGAUAUCACAGAAUACCGCAGCCUUAUCGGCAGUCUCAGGUAUCUGUGCAACUCUAGGCCGGACUUAGCGUAUCCGGUAGGAUAUCUUAGCCGGUUCAUGGAGGCGCCGUGUCAAGAGCACCUUGGUGGGAUCAAGCGUGUUCUUCGGUAUGUCGCAGGCACGCUGCACUGGGGCCUGCACUACCAUCCGAGCAGGAAGAAUGGAGGAGCGCCACAACUGCUGGGUUACUCUGACAGUGACUUGGCAGGAGAUGUCAAUGACCGGAAGAGCACCAGCGGCCUCAUCUUCUUCCUGGCUGGAGGGCCGGUUGCUUGGCAAUCGGCGAAACAAAAGGUUGUUGCUCUGUCUUCCUGUGAGGCGGAGUAUAUCGCGGCCGCUGCGGCCGCGUGCGAGGCAGUCUGGUUGGCACGGCUGCUGGCUGAGCUCAUCGGAGGAGCAGUGCUCGCUCCCAAGCUCAAGGUGGACAACAAGUCCGCCAUCGCACUGAUGAAGAAUCAUGUGCAUCAUGACCGGAGCAAGCACAUAGACGUGAAGUUCCACUUCAUCCAGGAAUGCUGCGACAGGAAGCUGAUCGACGUCGAAUUCGUCGGUACGAAGCACCAGCUGGGCGACAUUCUCACAAAGGCGCUUGGUCGAACUCGGUUCCAGGAGCUUCGUGGUUGGAUCGGCAUGAAAAAACUUGUAUAAAUAAUAAUCAUGGGCUUAGGAGGAGAUUGUUAUAGUAAGCCCAGAAUUAGUGUUUAUUUCUUAGCAAGUAGAUUAGCACACAAUCACCUUCCAGGUAUUGUGAUUUACUUACCAAUUUCUACUGCAUGUAAUUCCUUUAUAAAGAGAUAGAGAAC
rnacentral:lncRNA from 1 species